rnacentral:rRNA from 1 species
GACGAACGCUGGCGGCGUGCUUAACACAUGCAAGUCGAACGGUGAUCUUGAGAGCUUGCUCUUGGGUGAUCAGUGGCGAACGGGUGAGUAACACGUGAGUAACCUGCCCCUGACUCUGGAAUAACUUCGGGAAACCGAAGCUAAUACCGGAUAUGACACAGAGCCGCAUGGUUUCUGUGUGGAAAGUUUUUCGGUUGGGGAUGGACUCGCGGCCUAUCAGCUUGUUGGUGAGGUAAUGGCUCACCAAGGCGACGACGGGUAGCCGGCCUGAGAGGGCGACCGGCCACACUGGGACUGAGACACGGCCCAGACUCCUACGGGAGGCAGCAGUGGGGAAUAUUGCACAAUGGGCGAAAGCCUGAUGCAGCGACGCCGCGUGAGGGAUGAAGGCC